rnacentral:rRNA from 1 species
UACGGAGGAUCCGAGCGUUAUCCGGAUUUAUUGGGUUUAAAGGGUGCGCAGGCGGGAGAUUAAGUCGGCGGUGAAAUUUUGCAGCUCAACUGUAAAAGUGCCUUCGAUACUGGCUUCCUUGAGUGUGGAUGAAGUAGGCGGAAUUUGUGGUGUAGCGGUGAAAUGCUUAGAUAUCACGAGGAACUCCGAUUGCGCAGGCAGCUUACUAAACCACUACUGACGCUCAUGCACGAAGGCGUGGGGAUCAAACAGGAUUAGAUA